CAGGCAUAGCCAGCUGAAAUUCUGAAAGUGGAUUAUGCAUGGAGUAAUGCUGUUCUCAGGAAAUCAGUGAUUUAUUUUAUAAUCUAAAAUUUAAACGUUUUAAUAUACCUCCCAAGAAGAUACCCAGUUCAGAAAACUGCAGAGGAGCCAUGGAACUCAGCAGAAGGCCAGCUCCCUCUCUGGGAGGCCGCCUUCAGGAAACCAAUCGUCCCCCCACCUGAUUCCAAAGGAAUUACAGAAAAAUGGAAAGCCAGGAACAAAAAUCAUAAAUCAUAUUUUCAAUAUGACCUUGUAACGUUAUCCAUGGAUGUUACCUCAGACUUCGUGAUAAGCUGAGGCCCUGACACCAUGUUCCUGUCACCUUCCUGUUGUGGCCAUGAACGAUGCCUUGAGCUCAGCUGUACCUGGAUGCUUGGACUCAGCUGCUGCAGCUCAGAGGCUCUGGACGAGCCCUUCAUCAUCAGGCCAUCUCUUCUGAGAUUCUGCUCAGGACUUGGGCCUGGAUGAUCUGCUGAGCUUCAGUCUCUGCCCUGCUCCCCUCAUGGAGGACCUGAUUCAUCUGGAGCCUCGGACUCCCUAUGUAGUGGUCCCUGGGAUCAGAGCAGCACUCUUGGAAGAACAGUAAAACAGACUUGUUAUUGGCAGCCCAUUAGUGCUCAGGAGAGGCGGUCUCCAGCAUGACAUCAGCCGGCGGCUCGACCCAAAUCUAGUAUUUCACCAG
rnacentral:lncRNA from 1 species